rnacentral:rRNA from 1 species
UACGUAGGGUGCGAGCGUUGUCCGGAAUUAUUGGGCGUAAAGAGCUCGUAGGCGGUUUGUCACGUCUGCUGUGAAAUCCCGAGGCUCAACCUCGGGCCUGCAGUGGGUACGGGCAGACUGGAGUGCGGUAGGGGAGAAUGGAAUUCCUGGUGUAGCGGUGGAAUGCGCAGAUAUCAGGAGGAACACCGAUGGCGAAGGCAGUUCUCUGGGCCGAUACUGACGCUGAGGAGCGAAAGCGUGGGGAGCAAACAGG